GACGAACGCUGGCGGCGUGCUUAACACAUGCAAGUCGAACGGAGAGGCCCUGCUUUUGUGGGGUGCUCGAGUGGCGAACGGGUGAGUAACAAGUGAGUAACCUGCCCUUGACUUUGGGAUAACUUCAGGAAACUGGGGCUAAUACCGGAUAGGAGCUCCUGCUGCAUGGUGGGGGUUGGAAAGUUUCGGCGGUUGGGGAUGGACUCGCGGCUUAUCAGCUUGUUGGUGGGGUAGUGGCUUACCAAGGCUUUGACGGGUAGCCGGCCUGAGAGGGUGACCGGCCACAUUGGGACUGAGAUACGGCCCAGACUCCUACGGGAGGCAGCAGUGGGGAAUAUUGCACAAUGGGCGGAAGCCUGAUGCAGCAACGCCGCGUGCGGGAUGACGGCCUUCGGGUUGUAAACCGCUUUCGCCUGUGACGAAGCGUGAGUGACGGUAAUGGGUAAAGAAGCACCGGCUAACUACGUG
rnacentral:rRNA from 1 species